AAUAAGUUGUUUAAUAUAAAUUGAAUGAGAAUUGUUUUGUUUUUCUUUAAUGCUUUUAUAAUAUUCUGUUUAAUACUUUUUGUAUCUGUUUUUUUAGUCUUCUAAGGUAUUUGUUUAUGCGUCUUAAACUUGAGAGAAAUGUCUUUAAGCUUGAUAAUCUUGUCGUGUGGUUUCGUUUCUUGUAAUUUGGUUUGGACGCUCUUUGAUUUUAUGAUAUUAGUUAAGCAAUUGUCUAUGCUAACUUAAAUACAGUGACGAUAGACAAUAUUGACUGUUUCAGUUUAGAAGGAUACAAACUGCAAAUGCAUUCUGUUAUCUUAUGCUAAAACUGAUCUUAGAUAUUAUAGAUGUGUAUUGAGAUGCUUAUGCAUUGUCAUUGUUGUGCUAAGCUACAGUUUUGAGUCUAUCGUGUAACGUGUUUUGCCAAAUUGUCUGGAGUUUACAUUUCUGUUGUAUUUGUAACCAAAUAUAUAUGGAAUACUUAGGAUUAUUAUUUGGCGGACCAAAUUUAUGUUGAAUUCUGUCAUAGUUGAACCUUUGAUAUUGGCAUAUAACAUUUCAGUGUACAUACUUCAUAGGAAUUUUGGGAAGUAUAGUGUAUGUUUAAGAAAUUAGAAACAUCUUAUGCAUUUUGUAAAUUUGGAUAGAAUUUGGCUAAGAAUAACCAAUUCAAUGGAAGUCAAAAACCUUAGGUCUUAAUGUAUUAUUUUACAGUUGCAAUUUGAAAACAUGUCAAGUAUGGAUUUGCAAGUGAGUCCAUUCUAACUCAUAAUAUUCAUUUAUUUUAAACAACUUUGUUAAGGCAUGCAUAUUGAUUUUAGCUUUAGAAUCCAAUUCUGGUGUUUUUCAAUGAUGAAUUGCUUUCUCGUUAUGCCUUGUUCUACUAUGUUAUUCCAUUUCUGGAUAACACUUAAUCCAGUUUUCAGGUAACUUUCAAGUUUUGGAUUGAUUCUAUUUAUUAAAGUUUACUUUCUUAGAAGGAAUCUAAAAUUUAUGCUUUGGCAUCCUAGCGAGUCAGCUUUUAUGAGAAUGAUGACUCAUUUCAGCAUGUGCUUGUCAGUUGUCUCUAUGUUCUUUGCUUUCCUAUAUCUUGUGCACCGCGUAUGCAUAGGGUCAAUUGUUUAUAUGCAUUUAUUUAUGUAACACACAUAUAUGCUGUAUUAACUUCAACGAUGCUAGUCAUGGACACCAGGUGUCUUAUAUUCUUAAUCAUGUGAAAUAUCCUUGUUAUGGUGGAUUAUAAUCUAAUGGUUUUGGCUACGAGGCUUGAAUGAAUAUAUACUGCUUCCCGAGAAAGGCUGUGGCUUCAACAGUUGCUGGACUUGAAUGGAAAAGCUUUGGGAUUGAUUUCUCUAUGUGGAGUAGCUUGCUCUGGUCCAGUUGAUUCCAUGGCCAAAGAGCUACUAGUGCUAUUUCUCCAAGCCUGUUGCUGUUGCUGUUUAGCUUGUCCUGGUGUGUUCAAUCCUUAAGGGUUCCUACGACACUAAUAAAUGUGAAUCCCCGUUUGGCAUCUUGAGAUUCUUACAGUUUCAUGUCAUUAGACAUAUGGCUCCAAGCUUGAGGUUAAUUCAAUUUAUAUUUUCGUAUGCAUGUGCUCAUAUUGGGGUGUUAUUUCCUGAAUGGCUAAAACUAGUGGUAAAAUUAAUGAAGGCAUUUCACUUUAUUUGGUCAUCUCAUACUUUAUUAUUUAUGGAACAUUUGAUUUAUGACUCAACUUUUAAUUUUCUUCGAGUAUCGUUUUGAACUUUAGCUCAGAGUCAACACUCAACUGGUCCAUUUGAUCAUGCAAGUCUUGCCGGUCAAAUCAUGAGAGAAUGGCUCUUUGAGUAAUUGGCAUGUCGUUGUCUCCAAUCAUUCUCCGUGAAAUUGGUAGGCUGUGCUACUCCUAGUGCCCGUGCAAUACUCUCGAGAAAUUUGUGGCCGCUGCCGUGUUAAGCUCUUGCAAUGGCCAGUGUUCUUUGGCAUGCCACCACGAUAUCUCACCACAUCCAUUACUGGACGAUGCUGAUGAAAAGUAGUAGCUUUAAAGAAAGCAGCAAGUGAACGAACAUGUGUGCAAGAAGAUUUGUAGAUUCCGUGUUGUAAAUGACUGCUUUCCUUUUCAAUGAUACUUUUUGCUUUCUA